UACGAAGGGGGCUAGCGUUGUUCGGAAUCACUGGGCGUAAAGCGCACGUAGGCGGAUCUUUAAGUCAGGGGUGAAAUCCCGAGGCUCAACCUCGGAACUGCCUUUGAUACUGGGGAUCUCGAGUCCGGGAGAGGUGAGUGGAACUGCGAGUGUAGAGGUGAAAUUCGUAGAUAUUCGGAAGAACACCAGUGGCGAAGGCGACACACUGGCUCACUACUGACGCUGAGGCGCGAAAGCGUGGGGAGCAAACAGG
rnacentral:rRNA from 1 species